UAAUGUAUGGGGAUCUGCCCGAUAGAGGGGGGUAACUACUGGAAACGGUGGCUAAUACCGCAUAAUGCUACGGACCAAAGCAGGGGCUCUUCGGACCUUGCACUAUCGGAUGAACCCAUAUGGGAUUAGCUAGUAGGUGGGGUAAAGGCUCACCUAGGCGACGAUCUCUAGCUGGUCUGAGAGGAUGAUCAGCCACACUGGGACUGAGACACGGCCCAG
rnacentral:rRNA from 1 species